rnacentral:tRNA from 2 species
GUGUACGUCGCCAAGUGGUUAAGGCCCGAGGUUGUGACCCUCGCACCGGGAGUUCGAUUCUCCUCGUACACCCCA